rnacentral:rRNA from 1 species
UACAGAGGAUGCAAGCGUUAUCCGGAAUGAUUGGGCGUAAAGCGUCUGUAGGUGGCUUUUUAAGUCCGCCGUCAAAUCCCAGGGCUCAACUCUGGACAGGCGGUGGAAACUACCAAGCUGGAGUACGGUAGGGGCAGAGGGAAUUUCCGGUGGAGCGGUGAAAUGCGUAGAUAUCGUUUGGAACGCCAAUGGUGAAAACAGGCAACUAGGGAUGUGCUGACACUGAGACACGAAAGCCAGGGGAGCGAACGGG